AGUUAUAUAGCGUAGUGGUUAGUAUAUAUACUUUCUAUCUACUCGAUCUCUAGGCCUUUGUCGCCUAAGGUUAAGCAAGACUAGUGUAAGGUUGUAGGUUCGAAUCCUAUUAUAGCCU